rnacentral:misc_RNA from 1 species
UUUAUUACCAGGUCUAAUAAAAUUCAUAAAUGGCAGAAACCGAUACUAUCUGCAAGGACACACGUACUACAAGCAACGCGAAAUACGCGGAGGUACAGUCUCAAGGUGGCUGUGCACUGGACAGGGUUGUUCAGUGUACAUACAUCUAGAUGAAAAGCUGAAUCUGCUUCGUCUACCCUCGAACGAACACAUUCAUCCGCGGCCAGUGAUUAAAAAAAACGCCGAUGGAAUUUAUAGUAGAAUAUUUGUAAAAAAAGUGAACUCUGUGUUUUAUUCAUAACUUGAUUUAGGGAAGGAUAAGCUUUUAAUACGCUUGUAUUUGUGAAUAAUAGAAUUUGAAAAUGGCAAAAAGCGUUACUAUCUGCAAGGACAUACAUUCUACAAACAGCGUUUAAUACGUCAAGGUACCACUAGUAGAUGGUUGUGCACGAUACGAGGCUGCCCCGUAUAUAUACACUUAGAUGCGAGUUUAAAAUUGUUUCGUCCGCCAUUCCAAGAACAUUCUCAUCCACCGGUGAAUCUUUAUAAAAAAAGCAAUGGAACAUACAUUAGAUUAUAAUAAUAUCAAUAUAUUUUUAUUUUUAUUACAAAUGCAUUGUCGUUGACC